GCGUAGCCGAGCGAGCGAGCCGGCUCCGCUGUCUGCAGGGUUGCCUGGGGUCCCUUGCCCAUGCAUGACAGAUUGAAGAGUUACCAUGUGGAUCUACAGGCCUCUAUGUGAGAAGCUUUAAACAAUCAUUUCUGUGGCUGAAAUCCUCAAAUACUCUGUUGCCUCUGGAGUAUAACCAGUCAGUCCGAGCGGUGCCUCUGCUGAUCUAAGUCACCACCACACCUGUUACACACAGUUAUCCUCAACAGAAGAACUCCUUAUCACCCCAAGUUCAGCU